rnacentral:rRNA from 1 species
AUUGAACGCUGGCGGCAGGCUUAACACAUGCAAGUCGAGCGGAGAUGAGGUGCUUGCACCUUAUCUUAGCGGCGGACGGGUGAGUAAUGCUUAGGAAUCUGCCUAUUAGUGGGGGACAACAUUCCGAAAGGAAUGCUAAUACCGCAUACGUCCUACGGGAGAAAGCAGGGGAUCUUCGGACCUUGCGCUAAUAGAUGAGCCUAAGGUGGAUUAGCUAGUUGGUGGGGUAAAGGCCUACCAAGGGGACGAUCUGUAGCGGGUCUGAGAGGAUGAUCCGACACACUGGGACUUAGACACGGCCCAGACUCCUACGGGAGGCAGCAGUGGGGAAUAUUGGACAAUGGGGGGAACCCUGAUCCAGCCAUGCCGCGUGUGUGAAGAAGGCCUUAUGGUUGUAAAGCACUUUAAGCGAGGAGGAGGCUACUGAGACUAAUACUCUUGGAUAGUGGACGUUACUCGCAGAAUAAGCACCGGCUAACUCUGUGCCAGCAGCCGCAGUAA